rnacentral:rRNA from 1 species
GGCGGCGUGCUUAACACAUGCAAGGUCGAACGAAGCGAUUUGACGGAAGUUUUCGGAUGGAAGCAAAUUGACUGAGUGGCGGACGGGUGAGUAACGCGUGGGUAACCUGCCUCAUACAGGGGGAUAACAGUUAGAAAUGACUGCUAAUACCGCAUAAGCGCAGUAGGACGACGCUAGUCGUUUCUGUGUGAAAAAACUCCGGUGGUAUGAGAUGGACCUGCGUCUGAUUAGCUAGGUUGGUGAGGUAACGGCCCACCAAGGCGACGAUCAGUAGCCGACCUGAGAGGGUGACCGGCCACAUUGGGACUGAGACACGGCCCAAACUCCUACGGGAGGCAGCAGUGGGGAAUAUUGCACAAUGGGGGAAACCCUGAUGCAGCGACGCCGCGUGAGUGAAGAAGUAUUUCGGUAUGUAAAGCUCUAUCAGCAGGGAAGAAAAUGACGGUACCUGACUAAGAAGCCCCGGCUAACUACGUGCCAGCAGCCGCGGUAA